rnacentral:lncRNA from 1 species
GUAGAUAAGAGUGUUGUUUUGUUGUUACUGACAUUAUUGUUCUUAUUUAACAUCCUAUGAGGGAUUUACAUCAUGCACCAGGUCCUGGGAUUGCGUCUUAACUAUCUGCAAUGGUCAUUCUGCUUCAUGAGAAAGGGACUACAGAUUGCAGCACUGAGUAAGUGUAAUUGAGAAUUAAUGUGUUCUGUGGCUCAGAGGUGGAAAAUAAAACUGAGGCAGCCCAUAUGAGGAAAAAGUGGAUUCUUGUCAUGUAAGUGAGGCCAUGAGGACACAUGAUUGUGGCCUUUAUUGCUCAGGCCUGCCCAGUGGAUACUAGGAAAAGGACCCUCUUUCUGCUGUCAAGCUUUAACAAAAUUUGAGUGAAGCUUUAUUUCUCUAAAAAGAAACACAAGAUAGGCAAGAUGCAAAGAAUGGUCAGAGGGAAGAGGGAAGUUAAAAUGAAGGUGAUUGCCGCUCUGACAUCGUAACUACACUUGUGAAGGCAAUGAUAAUUUACUGUGGUUUUUACCAUGAAAGAGAAAUGCCAGGGAUCCACUUUCUGAAUAAGACUGCUUCAGGCAACCACCAUUUUACUCUAUGUCUCUACGGAUUUGGCUGCCAUAAGUGCCUCACGU